ACCUUUGGGUGGGGAACAACAGCCGGAAACGGCUGCUAAUACCGCAUAAUGCAGCGGCUCGACAUCGAGACAGUUGUUAAAGCGGGGGAUCGCAAGACCUCGCGCCUAAAGAGAAGCCCGCGGCAGAUUAGCUAGUUGGUAGGGUAAUGGCCUACCAAGGCAACGAUCUGUAACCGGCCUGAGAGGGCGGUCGGUCACACUGACACUGACAUACGGGUCAGACUCCUACGGGAGGCAGCAGUCGGGAAUUUUGGGCAAUGGGCGAAAGCCUGACCCAGCAACGCCGCGUGAAGGAUGAAGCUUUUCGGAGUGUAAACUUCACAAGAAUGGGAAGAAUAAGUUUAGGAUAAUACCCUGAACGAUGACGGUACCAUUUGUAAGCUCCGGCUAACU
rnacentral:rRNA from 1 species